rnacentral:snRNA from 1 species
GGAUGUGAGGGUGACCUGGCUUGUAGUCAGCAUCAAGGCUGAUUCAGCUGAUCUGGCUGGCUAGGCGGGUGUCCCAUUCCUCUGUCAUGGCUCCACAUGUGUCCCUCCCAAGGCUGAGCACCCUCUGCAGAAGAGGACAACCUUUCCUGACAGAGGGGGACCAUUUCUGCUGUCCAAGGUAUACAAGCAGCUGCCCUCCUCUGCUAGAACCUCCAAACAAGUUCUCAAAAUAAAAACUAAGAAAGGGCUUGGGGGCUGGGGAGAUAUCUCAGUGAUCUAAGCACCUGCCUGGCAAACACAAGGACCCGG